CCAACAUGGGCAUCCAGCAAGGUGGCUCUUGCAUGGCUCUGCCCAAGUGGCGUAUGGGAGCGUAGCUCUGGAAAGGGCGAUGACGUAUGGUCCCAUUCCACAAUGUUGGACAGAAAGUUUUUUCUUCCCUGGCUUACAUGGCUGGUGGAGAGGGCGUCCUGUAUAUUCCUACAACUUCUCAGUGCUUGUGGUUGCUGAGGAGACAAACCAUGCGGGACACGUGC